AAAGCCACUCUACUGGGAACCACUAAGGCCAGACUCUUCACCAGGGGAAAGCCCUCGGUGGAGUACGACCCAGGAAGUGACCUCAGCUACCUGCUGACCAAUCAGAGCGACUCAGGAGAUGAAGGUCUCAGGCUUUAAGGAUGUUCUGGAUGACAGAACUCAGAAUGUUGUUCUGUUCAAAACUGAUUAAAUAUUUUAAAUAAGAAA